rnacentral:hammerhead_ribozyme from 1 species
AUCCAGAUGACGGGUGCCACAUUGGACGAAAUGCGCAUCCUAGCUGGAU